rnacentral:rRNA from 1 species
UACGUAGGGGGCAAGCGUUGUCCGGAUUUAUUGGGCGUAAAGCGCUCGCAGGCGGCCUGAUGCGUCGUGCGUGAAAUCCCUCGGCUCAACUGGGGGUGGUCGUGCGAUACGGUCAGGCUUGAGGCCAGUAGGGGGACGCGGAAUUCCGGGUGUAGUGGUGGAAUGCGUAGAGAUCCGGAGGAACACCAGCGGCGAAGGCGGCGUCCUGGACUGGUACUGACGCUCAGGAGCGAAAGCUAGGGGAGCAAACGGG